CCUACGGGAGGCAGCAGUAAGGAAUAUUGGUCAAUGGGCGCAAGCCUGAACCAGCCAUGCCGCGUGCAGGAAGACGGCCCUAUGGGUUGUAAACUGCUUUUGAACAAGAGAAAACCUCGGUACGUGUACCGAGCUGAUAGUAUUGUUAGAAUAAGCAUCGGCUAACUUCGUGCCAGCAGCCGCGGUAAGACGAAGGAUGCAAGCGUUAUCCGGAUUCAUUGGGUUUAAAGGGUGCGUAGGCGGCCUGAUAAGUCAGUGGUGAAAUCUCUCAGCUUAACUGAGAAACUGCCAUUGAUACUGUCGGGCUUGAGUACAGAUGAUGUGGGCGGAAUAUGACAUGUAGUGGUGAAAUACUUAGAUAUGUCAUAGAACACCGAUUGCGAAGGCAGCUCACAAAACUGUAACUGACGCUGAGGCACGAAAGUGGNGGAGUACAACAGAGUAGUAUACCUACGUACGUCGCCGACCGUAACGAACGUAGUAUUACUUCGUUGUUGGUACGAUAUAGACCGUCGACGCGACCGACGACGAACGACGAAGUAAGUAAGUUACCGUUACCGUACGGGGUUAGGGUUACCGGUACCGGCCGGACCGGUUACGGAACCGUUAACGAAACGGAAGUUAGGACGGACGGAGGAGACGCGACGACGGACGACGACGGAGGGAGGUUAGGAG
rnacentral:rRNA from 1 species